GUGCUCACUUCUGCAGCACAUAUACUAAAAUUGGAACAACACAGAGAAGAUUAGCAUGGCCCUUGCACAAAGAUGACAUGCAAGUUCGUAAAGCAUUUCAUAGAAUA
ensembl:snRNA U6 U6 spliceosomal RNA